rnacentral:rRNA from 1 species
AUGUGUCCGGGCUCGCAGCAUCGGAGGCCGGUGCCGGCGCGGGUCGUUGUGGAGGAGCCGCGGCAGCUGGCCUACUUCUUGUACCCCGACGAUGCAGAGGGCGGCCGAGGGACGGUCGGAGCGUCGGUUGUGGUGUGCGCGAUCUGCUUGGAGGCGCUGGUCGGCGGUGCGGAGUGCAGCGAGGUGCCGGCGUGCCACCACGUGUUCCACCGUGGCUGCCUUGCGCUGUGGAUCAAGAGCAAGGGCACCUGCCCGCUCUGCAGGGAGCAUGUCAUGCCGGGGCCAGAGCGCCCGUCAGCUACCGAUAACAUGGUUUAG